UAGCCCGGCCUCGGCCGCGUGCGCCUCUUUGUCCGGGGACCUGCUUCCUGGCACCUGUGCGGGAAGCGCGGUGCCAGCCUGCCCCCGAAGCGGGGGAUGGUGGGGACCCGGCGCCCCGGCCAUCUGUGCGCGGCUCCCCGGCAGGUUCUACGGGGCCCAGCCGGGGAGGGGACCGCAGUCCCGGGCUGAGCGGGAUGAGUCGCCAUUACAGACUAGAGUGUCUGAUGCCUCCGUGACGCCACUGCUUGGAACUGACCUGGCCGGGGCAUAGGGGCUCGGCUAGAGUGUCCCGGCCCCCGCUGCCUCACUGGUUUCUUCGUGGGCCCCGAGUCCCCGCAGGCGGGUCUACAGCGCCUGGAGGGGGUGUCGGUGUCCACCGGCGGCAUCCUGAGGAAAGCAUGAGUUCUGGUAGCCCAGCGAGGGCAGUGCCCUCUCAGGGAUCCGCCCCUGACCUGGUGGACAGCCUGCAUUACUCCUGUUGGAGGGUUGGCAUGCCUAGGUGGUGAAUGGUUCCUGCCACUUCCGGCUGUGACAGAGCCAGGUCCUCCUCUCUGGCUACUAUGGGUUUUGCUCACUCAAAGGAUGCUCUCUGGUGUUGGGCAGAUGUAGGAACUCCGUCUUUCCUGCCUUGGCCAGUGUGAGCAGCUGUCAGCGGCCGCAGGAAAACACUGCCUAGAGAUUUGGGAACAAGUAUCAGUAGCUUUCGCUUCUUUAAACAGGUUUAUGGUUUUAUCAAAAGAUUCCAAUAAAACA